rnacentral:tRNA from 1 species
GAUUUAGUAGUGUAGGGGUAUCAUGAGCGCUUGCCACGCGCUCGACCCGGGUUCGAAUUCCGGCUGAAUCA